AGUGGCAGACGGGUGAGUAACAUGUAGGUAUCUUCCCAUUGGUGAGGAAUAACACGAGGAAACUUGUGCUAAUACCUCAUAAGUCUUUACGGAGAAAGCUUUAUGCGCCGAUGGAUGAGCCUGCACUUGAUUAGUUUGUUGGUAGGGUAAUGGCCUACCAAGACAAUGAUCAAUAGCUGAUUUGAGAGGAUGAUCAGCCACAUUGGGACUGAGACACGGCCCAAACUCCUACGGGAGGCAGCAGUAGGGAAUCUUGCACAAUGGGGGAAACCCUGAUGCAGCGAUGCCGCGUGAGUGAAGAAGGCCUUUGGGUUGUAAAGCUCUUUCGUCGGGGAAGAAAAUGACUGUACCCGAAUAAGAAGGUCCGGCUAACUUCGUGCCAGCAGCCGCGGUAAUACGAAGGGACCUAGCGUAGUUCGGAAUUACUGGGCUUAAAGAGUUCGUAGGUGGUUAAAAAAGUUGGUGGUGAAAUCCCAGAGCUUAACUCUGGAACUGCCAUCAAAACUUUUUAGCUAGAGUAUGAUAGAGGAAAGCAGAAUUUCUAGUGUAGAGGUGAAAUUCGUAGAUAUUAGAAAGAAUACCAAUUGCGAAGGCAGCUUUCUGGAUCAUUACUGACACUGAGGAACGAAAGCAUGGGUAGCGAAGAGGAUUAGAUACCCUCGUAGUCCAUGCCGUAAACGAUGUGUGUUAGACGUUGGAAAUUUAUUUUCUGUGUCGCAGCGAAAGCAAUAAACACACCGCCUGGGGAGUAC
rnacentral:rRNA from 1 species